AUGGUGCUGUUACUCGUUUCAGUCCUGGGGAUGCUAUUUGUUCUGAAAGCUGUUGGAGCCCAGUCAAUAACCCAGCCAGACCGACAUAUCUCAGUUCCUGAAGGUGCACCCUUGGAGCUGAGGUGCAACUACUCUUAUGCUGCAACUCCUUACCUCUUUUGGUAUGUCCAGUACCCUGGGCAAGGACCCCAGCUUCUCCUCAAGACCUAUUCAGGGGAAACCUUGGUUAAAGGCAUCAAAGAUUUUGAGGCAGAAUCUAAGAAGAAGGAAUCUUCCUUCAACCUGAAGAAACUCAUUGCUCACUGGAGUGACUCAGCCAUGUACUUCUGUGUCAUCAGUGGCACAGUGCUUCAGACUGCAGGGUGA